CCAAAUCCAAAUCCCAACCCCAUGUGAACUAGUGUUUGUCUGUCUUUGGGGGUGACACUGGGACAGUGUUCAUCGCUUCCCUUUUGCCGCCCCCAAAAGAGUCCGGCACCCCGGUGCUUGGAUUCGUGACUAAACCACUUUUAAACUUUUUCGGAAUGUACUUUAUUAAUACUAAUAAAGGA
rnacentral:misc_RNA from 1 species